AAUCCACCUCUAACCUGGGCCGCAUCUUCUGGUGAACCCCAUGUAGAGACACAGAAGAAGGACACUUAUGCUCUUGGCCUGCUUGUUUUUGUCUAACAUAGAACUAAAAGAUCUGG